rnacentral:rRNA from 1 species
AUGGAAGAAAAGCGUCAGAUGACAGUGACAGAGGGCUCAUCGACGGGCGAUGAAGGGACGUGGCGAGCUCUAUGGAAGCUUAACGUUCUGCCUAAGAUUAAGGUAUUUUGGUGGCGAGUGCUAAAGGGUUUUCUACCCAGCUAUGGAGAACUGAAGCGUCGACAUAUAAAGCAACUACCAAAUUGCCCAAUGUGUGGCAACGAUAAUGAAAUGCUGAUUCAUUCAUUGAUGGAAUGUGACCAUGCUAGACGCUUCUGGGAGGCGGCUGAGCGUUUCUUUGACAUAAGCACGCCGAGGCUCCAUCCAGGGACUUGGUCCCGGGAUAUACUGGACCAUAACAUGAUAAAGAAGGAGAAGGCGGCAAUUAUGACCACAGUGAUGUGGGCGGUGUGGCACUCGAGAAAUAGCUAUACACAUGGAGAGCAGCAGUACCAACCAUUGCAAUCCAUGAGAACCAUAGAGGAGAUUGUUCGAGCCCUUGAAGUACCAUCCACCGGUAGAAUUCAACCUGCCAUCCUUCCAACAUGGCAGCCGCCGGAUGUGUGGUGGGCAAAAAUAAAUGCAGAUGGAGCUACGGACUCGGAGCAUGGCAAAGGUGGUGCAGGUUUUGUCUUACGAGACCACCAGGGGGCGUUUGUGAGCGCGGGGUGCUCACGAUAUGAUGGAAUUUCAGACCCGCUCACGAUCGAGCUUCUCGCAUGCAGAGACGCGCUUGCAGCAGCGCAGAACUCAGGGCUACAGUACGUGGAGAUGGAGACAGAUUGCCAACAAAUCCAGAACCUAUGGGAAUCUCCUCAGAAGUCAAGUUUUUUCCACCUCAUUAGAGAGAUGAGGGAUAUGUGUAAUUUCUUUCAGGGAUUCAAGCUUCGGUAUGCUUGCCGGCGGACUAAUUCGGGCGCCCACCGUGUAGCGAGGCAUGCGUUAAAUCUUUUUGUAUCUAUGAUUAUGUACAAUGUAAUCCCUGGGUGGCUGACUGAAACUUUACAGUCAGACAUGCUAGCGCCUGAUAAAUAA